UGGGCUCGCCCACCGGCGCUCUGGCACCACCCCGCCCCCGCAGGCGGUUUCGUCACGUUACGCCCACGGCCCACAUCCGGCCCGCGGGGCUCCUCGCAGGUGCGGAAGCGUAGCACUGCGUUGCUACACGGGUGGGAAGUGUCGGGGCCCUGCCCGUUGGGCUGGGCGGUGAUCGCAGUGCGCGGUGGCUGCACCAAGGCCCGGGGGGCCGAGCGAGGGCAGGUCCCGGGCCCCGGGCAGCAGUCCCAGCGCGCUGCACUGGAGCUCGAUCCUCGUGACUGGCCCACAGACGGCCCCGCUCUGCUCAUCUGGUCCGAGGGACCAGAAGGUUGAGCGCCACCGGGUUAGACGAGGGAUUUGUACGGGAUGGUUUGGAUAGGGAUGAUCCUGCCUCAGGCCCGGGACUGGACUACAUCUCUGGAGGUCUCUUCCAGCCCGGCUUCUUUAUGAUUCCCUAUGAAUGAUGCCAUCACUCCCUCACCACCACAUUUUUGAACCCCCAAGGGCUGGAUGACACGGCUCCGUCAGCUGGCUCUGGGCCAUGAGGUGCAGGCACUGAGCACUAGUGCCAGGGGCCAGUAGUUCUCGUGAGACUUGAGACGGCCCGUUGGAAACAGCCAGCCCCUAGCUUACAGGGGCAUCGGUCUUUACUACUUCCAUCCAGGAAGGCUGCACACCAGUUGCAGAUGCUUCCUCAGCCUGACGAAGGGUAUGUGUACCCAAAAGCUUGCUAAGAAGAAUUUGUCCAACUAUUUGAGUCGGUCUAAUAAAAGAUACCAGAUUUAUCCCCAAAACCUUGAUCUCCUAGCUUGUCCCUCAGGUUUUGACUACUGAAAAAUAACAGCAGUUCUCCUGUGGUAAAGAACUUGGAAGGAUUGCAGCCGGUCAGACACAUUUUAACACUAUGGAUUCCUAUUUGAAAUUGCUGGGUUUGGCCUGUGAAUCAUGCAUAGGUGCCAAGACUGAGCAGCAUCCUUAAAAGGAUUUCACGGCACCCUGGCUGAGAAUCUGCUAUAGACUCUGUCUAUACUAGAAGGGCCUUGUCAUUGACAUGCUCUGUUACCUGCCAUGUCCAAGAAAAGUGUUGGGAACUACAUCAGGACUUGUAUAUGGCCUUCAUUGACGUUACUAAGUCCUUUGAUUCCAUCAGUCAGGAGGCCUUGUGAAAAGCACCAGCCAGAUUUGGCUAUCCUGAGAACUACAUCAAGGUUUUGAGGCUCCUCCACAACCAGAUGACUGCGACAGGUCUAUGUACCAGUUUGAAGACAGAUGCAUUUGUCAUCUGAACCGGGGUCAAGCAAGGUUAUGUCAUCACCCCAAUCUUGUUCUCUCUCUUUUUUGACACUCAUUCUAGUCAUCCUAAGGACCACCUUCCUUCUGAAAUUGACUUUGAGUACCAAAUGGAAGGAAGACUUAAAUCUGGGACAUUUUCUCUCAAAGACCAAAGUACUCAAAACAACCAUCGUUGACCUUCAGUACACAGAGAACUGCACCAUGCUUGCACACAUGGGCUACUGGUGCCUCCUGAAUCUGGGGGGGGGCACCCACAGAAGCCAGCAGCAGGGAUGGGGCUGGAGCACCUGCAGACACCAUCGGUGGCAUCGGGGAUGGCCCUGUCGGGGGGGCACAUGCCCCCCCCCAUGCCUCUCCUACCAGUCGCCUAUGCUUGGACACACUGAGGAAAUCCUCCAGGUGGCACUGGAUCUUUGGGCCUCUCUCCCAAACUUUGGGCCUCUCUCAACACCAAAAAGACUAAACUGCUCUAUCAGCCUGCUCCAGGCUAUGAAUGCGACCCACCUCCCUAAAUUACCAUUGAGGGGAAAACUGUGGAAGUAAUCGCACAUUUCCCUUACCUCUCUCAGAGUGAAGAUAGAUGAGGAGAACAAGCACAGGAUUUGGUGCACAAGUGCUUCCUUUGGAAAAUUAUUUCAACAUGUCUUUAUUCAUCGCAAUCUCCAGAAAGACACCAAGACACAGGUCUACAUUGCAGUCAUCAUCACCACCCUCCUCUCCAGGUCUGAAAUGUGGAUGACCUACCAUCAUCAUCUCGAGAGGUGGAGAAGUCAAUCUCAAUGCUAUUCCUGUAUUGCUGGAGAGGUAUCACGAACGAUACAUCCAGAAAAUCCUCCAUAUCAAAUGGGAAGAUUGCCGCACAAACCCCAGCAUCCUUGCUGAAGCCAAUUUUACCAGCAUUGAGUUGGUGAUCCUCAAGCACCAACUUUGCCGGACCAGACAUUGUGUGUGGAUGCCUGACUCAACUCCCAAAACAAAUGUUCUACUCCCAGCUUAGUAACAGCUUGAGAUCUUGAUUUUGCAGUGGCCAGAGAAAAUGCUACAAGGACGCAUUGAAAGCAUACCUCAAGAAAACAUGCUGAAAUCAAGAGUUGGGAGGAGCUGGCUGCCAAGGUUGACUGCAACCUCAACCAGUGAUCGCUCAUUUUGAGGUAAAGCAUCUUGCCCUAAAAGCAGAGAAGAGAGAGCAGAGAAAAGAAAAGGAGAGGCAUCCCAGCCUGCAGCUUACUCUCCUCUAUGGAAAGACCUGCACCUCUGUGGUUCGUUCAAAGAUUGGACUCAAGUCACCUCAAGACCUAUCAGUGAGCCAUAGUAGAGAUCAUUAUCUAAUCAAGGGAUUGCAGCUGCUGCUGACUAGAGGGGCAGCUGCUACUGCUGCUUUGACAACGAUGUCUGGACCUGCAGGCAUGAAUGCAGCUUUGCUGAAGGAGAUUUAGAGUUACACCCACCUCCUUUCCACAGCAGAAGAUGGGUGGUUUGCUUGUAGAGCUCUGCCAUGGAUUAUGAUCCCUUUACACCCCUGGCCUUCCUGGCUGAUUUGGCACAACUUUGCAGGGGUUCUCAAAGUUUUUAUACCGCAGCCCAGCAGUGACAGCCAACCGUGGCCGGAAUUUCCAGCUGGAAGACAGUGCCCCUCUUCUGGAAGGAUCCCACACUGUUGGAAACAUAAACGAUCUGGAAAAUGGGUUGGAGUGCAUCCUCAGCAGGUUUGCAGAUGACACCAAGAAACUGAGAAGCCUCUGAAGCCUCUGCAUGUUUUUGUAAAGGAAACAGAAGGGAAAUUGGUGUCACUGAUGCAAUGAGUAUAUGCAAAAGAACCUGUGCAAAUGCUGCAGACAUUUGACUGUUAAACUGCAGGUGCAAUGCAGAGAAUUUACCAGCACCAAAGAACUCAGAUUUCUUUUUUAUCACCUGCAGAAGGGGGUUUGGGGAUUGAGCAAGUGAAGGUUACUGCUGAGUUACACUGUGUGUGGAAGAACUGCCUGGUUCAUCUCUAGUUUUCCCAACUAAACUGAGUCCAGUGAUCUUACCUUAACAACUGCAAGCAGAACUAGCAAAGUCAAUCACACUAGUAAAAUGAGCUGAGAAUCCUACAGCUGUGGGGGUUCAAAAGAAGCAGCUUCGCAUGGCAUUGGACUGACUUGGGAUGCACUAACUCAUUCUUCCUUUCACUUACAUUCUGGCAUCCUAUACUCCAACUAGUCAAAUUUGUCCCAGGGUCCUCCUGAGAUAAACUGUCUGCCUGGAGGAAAGCAACAUUUGAUGAUUUGUAAGGUUCAUGUAGUUUCUCCACAUAGGAUAGAAAAAGAUGUUGCCUUUCAUCACCUUUAUGCUCCUGUAAAAAUGUUUAUGGUGGCACAAGGGCCAAGCAAAAAGACAUCAAUAACCCUUGUCACACCACAGAUGGCCAGAAUUCGUAGCCAUGACAAAAGCAGUGUCAAGUUUUGCUGGUAUUUAUUGUUACUUUACAGUGCAAAAAAUGCUGGCAGGCCUGAGCUGCCCAUGCUCUCCAGCUGCCCAGAGAGGUGCUCCAGGGACCUGAGGGGCCCAAUCCUGUGCACCCUGAGAAUUUCUGUGCAGAACUGGGUCCCUCAAGCCCUGGGAACUCCCACCUGGCUUUCCCUGCUUACUGAGAAGUGUCACCAGAAUCUCUGAUGCAUGUCUCAGUAAGUGGGGAAAGUCAGGGUGUCCUUACUCAUAGAGAUCCUGGAGGCACACCUCAUUACACAGAAAAACUCUUGCAAAAAGUUGCCUGGAGGCAGGCUCUUCCAGGGUUUGAGGGACUUAAUCUUGGGAAUUCCUGAGGCACAGGACUAGGAUUACACAUCACCCAUUGUCCCACAGCAUCAACAGAUGGAACAACAGGCAAUGUGUGUUUUGCAAGAUGAAUCAGAUCAGCUGUGCAAAGACACCUCAUUUGGCAACAUCUGUUUCUAGCCUCAGAAAGCUUUCAGAUAGGGUUGUUUUUAUUUUUUCAUUCUGAAGUGCUCCACAGCUGCACUUGUCCAGAUUAACCAGCAACAGUUCUCGUGCUAACUUUGUGAAUGAUGGGUGACAUUGCUGCUUAAACCGAUAUCUGUAUCUGACAUCAGUUUCUCUCAUUUGUCUGAUUCAGGGUAUGUACACACUGUAUUAAGCAGUGUUAAAGUAGGAGCAGUUUUGCUACAUUUGUAGCAUGCCCUUUUGAAAUGUUCCCCUUUUGAAACUACUUUAAACGUAGGUGAGUCCACACCUUCAAGCAACUUUUGCUUUUCAGUUCCUUUUUUCACCUUGCAGAAUAGUAGACAGGCUUCAUGGUACGCAAUGAAAUCAAUGAAUAACCACAGCCUUGCAAAACAGUACAGCAAUACAGUCAGCCAGCACAGGUUCAGGGGUCAGAGCAAGAAUACCUGACCUGACUAUCCAGUAAUGCUGAGAGAGCUCCUUCCAAAAACAGUUUUGCUCUGCUUCCAAGCUAUAAGCAAGCAUAAAGAAAUCCUUAGUCACAAGGAGAAACUGCCUUGAACUACAAUGUCAUAUUUAAUGAAACAGUUUGAGUGUUUGUAAUAGUUGCCCAUUAGCCAGUUUAGAAAGAAGACGAGAUUCAUCUUCUUAUCUAGGCCAUUGUUUUGGUCU